CUUCAUGGUGUAGGUUGUCGACGGUGCUUCGUAUGUGCCGUGAAUGUGCUGUGAAUGUGCUAAUCAUCUGUUGUUCGUGUCCAGCGGCCUGCCCAGUUCCUGCCCAGCUGCGGAUUGUUUCUAAGGAGUCGCAAACCGUUUUGCGUGGCAAUUUUUUUACAGUUUACUCAGGCCGGUUUAACGUUUUUUUAUUUCUUAAGUUCUUUUUUUGCCUUUUUCAUUAAUUUUAUUUUUCUUUUUUCAUAGGGAGCUCUGAUCAACGAAUUCUUAAACCGUUCUUCCGGACAAUUGAAAGCUUUUGCUUUCUCUUAUCACUCGUUUGGUAAAUGGUUGGAAGGAUUUAAACAUGCAAGAACAAUCAUCUUCUCGGGAAUUGUGGCCACGAACCAAAACCAUCAAUCGGCACAUUAGUUGUCGCUUGCACAACAAGUAUUAUCGUAAUAAUUCAAGCAUAAUGUAUUACAUUACAUAUUACAUUAAAAUAAAAAAGUCAAUUGA